UACGUAGGGUGCGAGCGUUGUCCGGAAUUAUUGGGCGUAAAGAGCUCGUAGGCGGUGUGUCACGUCGGCCGUGAAAACCUGCAGCUUAACUGUGGGCGUGCGGUCGAUACGGGCAUCACUGGAGUUCGGCAGGGGAGACUGGAAUACUUGGUGUAGCAGUGAAAUGCGUAGAUAUCAAGUGGAACACCAGUGGCGAAGGCGAGUCUCUGGACAUUUCCUGACGCUGAGGCACGAAAGCCAGGGGAGCAAACGGG
rnacentral:rRNA from 1 species